AAGGCCUGUGCUCCAGGUGCGGCGCUGCUCCGCUCGGUGCGGCGCUGCUGUGUGCGGUGCUGCUCCGCUCGGCGCUGCUCCGCUCGGUGCGGUGCUGCUGUGUGCGGUGCUGCUCCGCUCGGUGCCGCUCUGCUCGGUGCGGUGCUGCUCUGCUCGCUGCUGCUCCGCUCGCUGCUGCUCUGCUGUGUGCGGCGCUGCUCCGCUCGGUGCGGUGCUGCUGUGUGCGGUGCUGCUCCGCUCGUUGCCGCUCUGCUCGGUGCGGUGCAGCUCCGCUCGCUGCUGCUCUUCUCGCUGCUGCUCUGCUGUGUGUGGCGCUGCUCCGCUCGGCGCUGCUCCGCUCGGCGCUGCUCCGCUCGCUGCUGCUCCGCUGGGCGCUGCUCCGCUCGGCGCUGCUCCGCUCGCUGCUGCUCCGCUCGGUGCUGCUCCGCUCGGUGCGGCGCUGCUCCGCUGGGCGCUGACGAUCCCGUCCCGCAGCUCCGCGGAGAGCCGUCGCGGUGCCGCGCCGCCGCCGAGUUCCUGCGGAGCCUCGCGGGCGCGGUGAGCUCCCGCACGGAGCGCCUGCGCUUCCCCGGCGUCGCCCGGUUCCUGCCGACCGACGCCGGGCGCCGCCUGCUGCGCCGCCUGGAGGAACGGUACCGCUGCGUCUUGGAGCCCCGCGCCGUGCGCUGGGAGCCCCCGGGACCGCAGGGGUGCCGUGGGGCUGUACUGUGCCAUGGGAAUG
ensembl:lncRNA